rnacentral:rRNA from 1 species
AAUUUAUAAAUAGCUGCAUCAUAUGUACUAAGGUAGCGUAAUAAUUUGCCUUUUAAUUGAAGGAUUGUAUGAAGGAAUCCACAAGAAAUUACCUGUCUUUUUUUUAUUAAUAAAAAUUAAUCUACAAGUGAAAAAGCUUGUAUUAAAUAAAUAGACAAGAAGACCCUGUUGAGCUUUUUCUAUAAAAUAAUAUAUAGAUUUUGUUGGGGCAACAUAUAAUUUAAAACUCAUUAUUUUUUUAUUAGAACAAAUUCUUUUUAUAUAUCUUAUUCUAUAAAAUAUUAAUAAGUUACCACAGGGAUAACAGGCUAAUUCUUUUUUAGAGUACAAAUUAACAAAAGAGUUUGGUACCUCGAUGUUGGCUUAAAGUAUCAAUUAAUUGUAGCAGAUUAAUUUGUUGG